UGGUCCCAAAGAACGCACCACAUUUACAACAGAUGCAGUUCAAUAUAAAACACCAGAUCUUUUUAUUGAACUGCAUUUGUUUUUAUCAUUUUUAUCUGGCACGGUUUGUUCUCAUUUUUAUGUUUAAAAAAAAAAUAUAUCAGGAAUAGUUUUUCAGGAAAGGGCAAGUGUUUAGUGAAUAAAAACUUUAAAAAUAUUUUUUUUAAAAAUUACAAAUGUCAUUAUAUUCAGUAUCAUAGACCAAUGCAGCAUAUUUCCUUUUGUAGUUUACAUAUUGGAGGGCAAAAUGCUGCAAGAAAACGUUCUUAAUUAAUCUAAUCUAAUUAAAAAGUUUUUUACAAUACGCAAAUAAAAUGAUGAAUUGUAAUUGUCAAAAACAGCCUUUAAAUUGAUUGAACCUGGGGGGGGUUGAUUUUUAGCAUAUAUAGGCAUCAUUCAUGUGAUAGUACAGUUUCCAGACUUUCCCGCUGAUGUAACUGACUUGUUUGGACUUGUGGUUUUCUUGUGGCUGUUGCAGAUGAAACCCAGGUCAGAGCUGACCCGUUAGAUAAGAUGAUGUCAAACAUGGCCUGUGUUUGCAGAAGGCAUGCAAAUAUUUGAUCUAGACU